rnacentral:rRNA from 1 species
UACGAAGGGGGCUAGCGUUGCUCGGAUUUACUGGGCGUAAAGGGCGCGUAGGCGGACAGUUAAGUCGGGGGUGAAAGCCCGGGGCUCAACCUCGGAAUUGCCUUCGAUACUGGCUGUCUUGAGUACGGGAGAGGUGUGUGGAACUCCGAGUGUAGAGGUGAAAUUCGUAGAUAUUCGGAAGAACACCAGUGGCGAAGGCGACACACUGGCCCGUUACUGACGCUGAGGCGCGAAAGCCAGGGGAGCAAACGGG